GGGGAGCGCGGCGGCGGCGGCGGCGCCUAGUGCAGGUCCCACAUCUCGCAGAGCAGCGAGGAAGACCAAGAUUUGUCGAUAAAAUGCUCCAGUGCAUCGGAAGGCACAACGUGGAAGAAAGUAAAGACGCCAACAAAAAUCUCCUGCAACGAUCUCAGAAUUGCAUUUAGAUGCCACUCAGCCUGUCACAGAUGUUGCCUUUUUCCACCGGUCAAUUCCUCUGUGCAUUAUUACCUGUUCACUGCCAGUUUCUGGCAGCCAGCAUCCCACAGAGGGACUGCACCGAUCCUGAAAGUCUGAUAGAGCAGUGUUGGCCCUCAUCUCUCUUGCUUGUCUGUACUUGGCAUGAAAGGCCAGGAUGUCACCUCUGAAGCCAGGGAAAAGUGAAUAUAAAUGCACGGAACAGAACAGGCCAGAGGUUCAGACAACAAUCCAGGUGCAGCUUCUGAUGAAGUGUAGUGGUCCUUCACGCCGCACAGACGGGUUGCUCCUUCAGCCAGCUUCCUGGUAGAGGUGAACUGGGAGCUUCCAGCGCUUCGUUUCUACAUGGCUCAUCGAGUGCCUCCCCGCUGUAAAGCUGAAUCGAGUGGAGCCUUAGAGAUUGCAUGUUUCACCUCACAGAACUUGCUUAUGUUGAAUAAGGUGAAAAAGGGGAAGAUACCUGUAUCAUUCUCUGUAGCUGCAGCAGGCCUGCUCCUGCGGGGCUGCUCAAAGGCUCUGUGGGAAGGUGCUGGCAGAAGCAUUAAGGACAGCUACGGAAUUGGGAGCAUGAGCAGAGAGAGGCGACAGUGGGUGCAGAAUGCCACAGGUGGGGUCAUUUGAGGAUAUAAUAGUGGGGACAGAGUGUGACAGGGGAAACAAGCACAGGCUGCCACUUCAGGAUGGCAUGUCUAUCUUAUUACAGGGCAACCUUUUGCCAACUGGUUCCAUAACCAGAAUAGUAAACUUUGUCAGUUUUCCAGAUGUUCAUUUGGACAUCAUUCACCCGUUAUAAAAAAGGAAUUGUCAUAACGAGUUGUCUUAACUUUUUGGUGUGCUCUAAUAAGAAAAACAAGGAAGGACCGGAAGGUAAAAUGUGCUAUAGAGCAUGAGCUAGAUGUUUAGUGCCACACAAGUUACUAUAAACCAGCAUUACAUUUCCCAAAUGUGCAAAAUGUAUCUUACUCUACUAAUUGAUGUGAUUCUGAUUAAAUAGUCUAGAUGCAGCUGCUUACCCUAUUCUCUUCUGGAUCGUGUGAAUGUUUUGAAAUUGUUGCUUGUAUAAAAUCAUCAUAUCGGCACUUAUGCACUGUGAUUGAUUAUCUCUGGGAUCGUAAACUUUAUCUGAUAAGCAUCCUCGGGUUUUCCUAUGUGUCCUCUCUGAACAGGGAGUUAAACUGGAAAGAUGAGUUAAGUCAAAGGGAGUCCUGUUAAAACAUUAUUGUUGGUAGUAUGAACUGAGGAAGCUCCGGGGCACAAUGUUAAGCAAAGCAUCAAGGACGUGACAGAACACUGACAGUAGCUUCAGUGAGCAGAUAAAAGUUUCAAGGCAGCGAGUGCGCGCUGCGGAGCGCCAGCAGGGGAUGUUUGCUGCCCAGGGGCCACGCGGGAGCACCAGAUAAGGCGGCAGCUCCACGGGUCGCAGCCCCGCGUUAUCGCACACCG